AUGUCUGCAGGAGAGGAGUGGACAUGUUCCAUCUGUCGCGAUGUGCGACAGGACGUGGCCCAUGCAAUUCCAUGUAAUCACACAUUCUGCCUGGGCUGCAUCCAUCGGUGGGCGAAGCUGAGGGACAGCUGCCCGCUGUGCAGGACGGCCAUGCGGACCAUCCGGGUCUGCGUGCGGGGAGACAAUCAGUUCGUGGACUGCAUCGUCUCCCCGCCCGCAGUGCCGGUGCCCGUCAGCUUCAGCACCACCACCGGCCGCAGAGGCGCUGCGGCAUCUGCUCCACUGCCAGCUGUGCAGAGGGAUGUGGGAGCAGCGAGAGUGGGUGGCCUCCUGCCCGAGGAGUGGGCAGCACUCUUCAGGGAGAGACGUGACCUCCUCUUCCCAGUGCAGCCCUGGAUACAGGACAUCUUCUCCCAGAUCCAGGAGCUGCCCUGGUGGCAGAUCUGUGGGCUGGAGAGUGUGAUCCUGGCUCUUCUGUGCCGAGUGGGGCUGAACAGGGAUGCCCUGGUGUACCACGCACAGCCCACCCUGGGACCUAUCACGGCAGCAUUCAUGGACGCGCUCAUCGAAGUCAUCGUGAGCCGGUGCGGCCAGGAGGCCCGGAGGCUGCUGGGCCUCGAAGAUGCCAGCGCUGCCCAGGAGCAGGAGGACGGGCCCGAAGAGCCCAGUGCUGCCCAGGAGCACGAGGAUGGCCCCCCAGCCCCGUCUGGUCCCUCCACAUCUCCUCAGGGGACCGUUGCCCCCAGCACCUCUCCCUCCGGCAGCUCCGCGGGUCCCGACGCGGAGGAGCUCCCCGGCACGUCCAGCGGGGCCCUCGGCAGAGGUCCCGGCGAGCCGGGUUCCGAGGCAGCCGGUCCCUCUGAGCAGGGCCGCAGCCGCGGCUCCUCCUCUCGCGGCCGGGGCAGGAAUCGCUCGGCUGGGGGAUCCCGGCGCCCCACCAAGAGGAGGGCCGGCAGCGCCCAGCGCGCUCCUCUGCCCUGCAAGAGGCGGCGCCACCGGCGCCUCUAA
rnacentral:lncRNA from 1 species